UCCCUGGUGGCUAAGAUGGUAAAGUAUCUGCCUGCAAUGUAGGAGGACCUGAGUUCAAUCUCUGGGUCAGGAAG
rnacentral:tRNA from 1 species